GAGGGUAUAGCUCAAGUAGUAGAGUGCAUGCUUAGCAUGCACGAGGUCCUGGGUUCAAUCCCCAGUACCUCCU
rfam:Camelus ferus unplaced genomic scaffold scaffold743, whole genome shotgun sequence.